UACGGAGGGUGCAAGCGUUAUCCGGAUUCACUGGGUUUAAAGGGUGCGUAGGCGGGCAGGUAAGUCAGUGGUGAAAUCUCCGGGCUUAACCCGGAAACUGCCGUUGACACUAUCUGUCUUGAAUAUCGUGGAGGUAAGCGGAAUAUGUCAUGUAGCGGUGAAAUGCUUAGAUAUGACAUAGAACACCCAUUGCGAAGGCAGCUUACUACACGAUCAUUGACGCUGAGGCACGAAAGCGUGGGGAGCAAACAGG
rnacentral:rRNA from 1 species